UUUUCUUUUUUUUUUUUUUUCUCCCUCUCUUUGAACUCAGAAAUUCUUCACAUUGGAUUUGAUUUUUAUUUUUAUUUUUUUUUCUUUUUUUUGGUAUUCUAACUGUCAAACAGGGCACAUCUUGUGAUGUGGUCCACCUCAGGUUUGCCUGGGUGCGACCUUCUUGAUGCCUUUGCUAAAUUAGUUAAUAUGGGCAUGUGCAUUAUGUCUGAUUCAUGAAAUACCCCUUUUCAUUUUGCUUGUGACAGUGUUGAGCUUUCAAUGGCAUGUAGUAGGACAGUUAUGGGUGAGCAGAGAGACGAAAGAAAGAGGACCAGGUGGGUGGCUGUUGGGAGUUGGGAUUUGGUUUGUAGACGUUAUGAAGCAUGGUUUUAAAGCCUAGUUUGGCACAAUGCUGGGGACGCAUGUUUAAAUCCUGUCUUCAUGUUUAGUUGCUUACCUUCUUCAAGCAUUAUAGAUGUUACCCAGAGCAAAAUGACUUUGGUGCAAAUUAGUGUUCGAGUCAGUUUCAGUUUAUUGAGAAUUUUCACCAUAUCAAAAAUUGGGGUGAAUUUAAAGUUGACCCUGUUGGAUCAGUUUUCCCAUGUUUAAGACAGUUGUUGCUAGAUGGUAUUAGACAAGGCAAUUUUGCACACCAUUAUCACCAAAUUAGUGAUUUGCUCUAUAGAAUUUCAAUCUGUAAGAAUUAGAUUAAGUAGUAAAAAAUAUUUAAUAUUCCAAUUAUUUAUCAUUGCAUGUCCUAUAAGCAAUUCAUUUCGUGUCAAAUAAAUUCCCCAAAAGGGAUCUAUUCCAUGAUAUCUUUCACGCGUCAAGAACCCCGAUUCUUCACAUUUUCUCCACCACAAUGAAUUAAAGGAAAGGAUUCAUCAACAUGAUCCCUCUAAAUUUACACCUAAAGAACACAAACAAACCCAUUCACAUCAAGGCCAGGCUAGGAAAUUUUAGAAACCCACACCAGAAUCAUCACCACACUGUAAAAGCCCUUCUACCUGUAGCAAACUAACAAUGAAUUCCGAUGAUCGAGUAUAGGAGCUGUGAGAUCGGAAGUGAUCCAGGGAGACUAGAAUUGAUAUACUUGAGGCAUGGUUUCUUUUUUUAUAUGUCUACAUUGUUAUACAGAUAUUUGUAUAAGGUUUCUAGUUUCUAAGUUAAAUUUUAUUUGUGGGUCAAUUCAAAUUUAGUAUCAAGGUACCUGAAACCCACCUGACCAGUAAAUUUACCUUUUUAUGAGUAGCAAAAAAGGCUGAAAAGUGACUAUAAAGGGGAUUAUGUGUUAUAUAUGUUAAAUGACGCAUGAUGUAUUGUUCCUGAAAAGGCAUUAAUCUUGCUUCUCUGCAACAAUUUCCAGUUUUUUCCGGAUACUGUGUUAUGGAUUUUACCAUGAAUGGGAUUUGCAAUUUUAAUGUGUUUCAGGUCAAUUAUAUAUAGAUCAGUGUUUGGUACUAAAUGCAGCUUUUCUGCCUUGUAGGACCAUCUUGCAGCAGCACG
rnacentral:misc_RNA from 1 species